rnacentral:rRNA from 1 species
AUACGAAAGGGGCUAGCGUUGUUCGGAAUUACUGGGCGUAAAGCGCACGUAGGCGGCAUUGUAAGUUGGGGGUGAAAUCCCAGGGCUCAACCCUGGAACUGCCUCCAAAACUACAGAGCUAGAGGAUGUGAGAGGAUAGUGGAAUUCCGAGUGCAGAGGUGAAAUUCGUAGAUAUUCGGAAGAACACCAGUGGCGAAGGCGACUGUCUGGCACAUUUCUGACGCUGAGGUGCGAAAGCGUGGGGAGCGAACAGGAUUAGAAACCCUAGUAGUCC